ACGAGACUGAGGCUGAACCCAUACUGAAGCAGACAAUCAGGUGAACCUAGAGGUGAACCCAUAGUGAAGCAGACAAUCAGGUGAACCUAGAGGUGAACCCAUAGUGAAGCAGACAAUCAGGUGAACCUAGAGGUGAACCCAUAGUGAAGCAGACAAUCAGGUGAACCUAGAGGUGAACCCAUAGUGAAGCAGACAAUCAGGUGAACCCAUAGUGAAGCAGACAAUCAGGUGAACCUAGAGGUGAACCCAUAGUGAAGCAGACAAGCAGGUGAACCUAGA